rnacentral:rRNA from 1 species
AGAGUUUGAUCCUGGCUCAGGACGAACGCUGGCGGCGUGCUUAACACAUGCAAGUCUACGAGAAAGUGUCUUUCGGGAUGCGAGUAAAGUGGCGCACGGGUGGGUAACACGUAAGCAAUCUACCCUUAGGCCUGGGAUAACCCCGAGAAAUCGGGGCUAAUACCGGAUGAUGCAGCGGCACCGCAUGGUGAUGUUGUUAAAGUCUAUAUGGCGUCUAGGGAUGAGCUUGCGUCUGAUUAGCUUGUUGGUGAGGUAAUGGCUUACCAAGGCUGCGAUCAGUAGCUGGUCUGAGAGGAUGAUCAGCCACACUGGAACUGAGACACGGUCCAGACUCCUACGGGAGGCAGCAGUGAGGAAUAUUGGGCAAUGGGCGAAAGCCUGACCCAGCAACGCCGCGUGGAGGAUGAAUGUCGUAAGAUUGUAAACUCCUGUUAGAGGGGAAGAAUAAUUCCGAUCGAAUCGGAACUUGACUGUACCCUCAGAGAAAGCUC